rnacentral:misc_RNA from 1 species
UCAAACUUGGUCAUUUAGAGGAAGUAAAAGUCGUAACAAGGUCUCCGUUGGUGAACCAGCGGAGGGAUCAUUACCGGAUCGUCGCGAGACGUCCCCUAAACCUUUGUGAACCUACCUACGUAGUGCUUCGGCAGGCCGCCUCUCCGGCCCGCCCGGGGAGCUCCCGCUCGCGGGAGCCUGCCGGAGUGCCAACACAAACUCUGCAACUUUGUGACAUCUCAGAGAAAAAACGAAUCGUAACAACUUUCAACAAUGGAUCUCUUGGUUCUGGCAUCGAUGAAGAACGCAGC